UUGCUUUGGCAGCAUGUAUACUGAAAUUGGAAAGAUGCAGAGAAGAUUAGCAUGUGCAAGGAUGACAUGCAAAUUUGUGGCAAAAAAUUUUU
rnacentral:snRNA from 1 species